rnacentral:rRNA from 1 species
CGCGUAGGCGGCUUUUCAAGUGACGGGUGAAAUCCCUCGGCUUAACCGAGGAACUGCCUGUCAGACUGGAAGGCUUGGGACCGGGAGAGGUGAGUGGAAUUCCCAGUGUAGCGGUGAAAUGCGUAGAUAUUGGGAGGAACACCAGUGGCGAAGGCGGCUCACUGGACCGGAACUGACGCUGAGGCGCGAAAGCGUGGGGAAGCAAACA